AAGACUUAUGUUUAUUGCAUAGCGUAACAUUAUGUUUAUUGCAUAGCGUAACACCAACUAAACUAAUGGCGCAAAAACCAUUUCCACAAGGCUCUAUUACAUUCCACGGCCCACUAGAAAACACGUAAACAAAAUCAAAAAAAUUCUUACACCAAAGUUCUGCUCUUUGCCCACAGAUUGACAUUUCUUGGGGAAGGAAAAACACCUUCAAAUUGUUUAUGAUUCCUCUCCUUAAACCCUAAAUCACUAGUUAAUUUUCCCCAAAUUUGUUGUUAUUCAAUUUGGUAAUUUGUUUUUCUUCUCAUUGAAGAAUCUGCAGAAUAAUGGAAGCAUCAAAAGCAGUUUGUGGGAAAGAAGCAUUGGAUCUUCUAAAUUGUGUUGUUGAUUCAAAUUACGAUGAAGAGAAAUGUCGUAAAUUUCUGCAAUCUCUUCGCCAGUGUGUCCUCUCCAAGAAAGUGAAGAAAUUCUCGCUACCUGACGAGAAGUCGCCAGAACUCCAGAAGUAGGUCAUGGCAGCAAAAGGCAAGCCUGAAUUGGUUAGUAGGAAUUAAUGUUGUAACGAGUUUAUAAAGGCAGCAUGUGUAAACACCAUUGUUGAGAAUUUUGUAGAUAGAAUUGUUGUGGAAGGCUUGAGUUCUUGAGGCUGGUUUCAAUUUAUGGUCUUUCAAGCCAUCAAACAGACAUUUUCUUACAAUUGUUACAGGCGAUAUAUAAACAUGUCAAUUGAAUGUA